UUUCUUGUGUUUUAUCAGUUGAUGAACUUCUGAUGCACUGCACUCCUAUGUUUAGAUGUGGCAAUCAAACAUAUCUUUAUUAUCCCUUUUGGACACCUGACAGAGAAGAGUGCGGUCACCCAGAUUACAAGGUAAAUUGUAGCGGAAGUUUCGCGGAGUUUAGUAUAUCCUCGGUUAGGUUCAGAAUCCUUGAGAUGAACUAUGAGUCUCGUAUAAUAAGACUUGCUAGAAUUGAUUAUCUCAACAACAAUCUUUGUCCACAAGAACCUGAGAAAGGCAACAAUCAACCAACAACUUCUUACAUUUUCUUCCGACACUGAGUUGUCAACUUUUUAUUACAACUGUUCUGGUUCAAGGGUAGAUGUUCUUCCUAGUGGUUAUAUUAGACAACUUGAGUGUAAGGAUGAUACUGGUGUUCAAAGUUACUUUGUCUCUUCCUCUUCAUAUUCUGGGAAUAGAGCUAUCUUAGAUGGGUAAAGUGCAUCAUGUGAAAGAAACGUCGAUGUUCCUGUCUCUCGAUCCGCAAUGAAGACCUCAGAGAGAAAUCAGAGUCUUGAGGCUAUAAAGAAGGUUCUUGAUAAGGGUUUCGGACUUAGCUUUAACAGUGAUUGCUCCCAAUGGGUAGCGUCAGACGGUGCUUGUGGCUUUAAUAAGAGUUCAAGAGCAUCGUCUGCUAUUGUACAGAUGAACCUCAUGAGCAUACUUGCACUUCUGGAAAGAAAAAGAAGAGUCUCUCCAAGAAAUCAAAAAUAGGCAUCGGAAAGAGAGGAACUUCACAUCAUCCAAGACACCAUAACCUUAAAGGGCUAGUAGAAAUGAAACAGUAUAGUUAUGCAGAA